CACCGACUGUGCUGGGUCACUUGGCUACGUAGGAGGUGGCUUGCGCACUGCUAACCAGCGGAAGCAGGCGGGAUUUGGGCGGGGUUGCGAGCGCUCUGGACUUUGUGCCCGGGCGGAGUGCUCCAGCCACCCGCUACAAAGACGUUACGCGCGGAAAUCAGAUCGGGGCUAGACUGACCCCUGUUGAGUUCCGGGGUCCUAUGGACAAAGAAAGUACUCGCGUAGGCCGCCAGAGAGACAACCCUGACAGAAGAUAGAAUCCUGAUCAAGGACCUCUUCCUGCCACUCUCAUCAAAAGCCAUCUUAAGUACUGAUGACAGCAGAGUUCUUCCAUGCUGGCGAGUGGAAAGGCAAGUCUUUAAGGACAUUAUCAUUGAGGCCGUUUAAAGUGCAAUUGGC
rnacentral:lncRNA from 1 species